rnacentral:rRNA from 1 species
UACGUAGGGAGCGAGCGUUAAUCGGAAUUACUGGGCGUAAAGCGUGCGCAGGCGGUUUUGUAAGUCAGUUGUGAAAGCCCCGGGCUUAACCUGGGAAUGGCAUUUGGGACUGCAAGGCUUGAGUGCGGCAGAGGAGACUGGAAUUCCUGGUGUAGCAGUGAAAUGCGUAGAUAUCAGGAGGAAUACCGAGGGCGAAGGCAGGUCUCUGGGCUGACACUGACGCUCAUGCACGAAAGCGUGGGGAGCAAACAGG